UGGGGAAUAUUGCGCAAUGGGGGGAACCCUGACGCAGCCAUGCCGCGUGAAUGAAGAAGGCCUUAGGGUUGUAAGGUUCUUUCGGUAUUGAGGAAGGUUGAUGUGUUAAUAGCACAUCAAAUUGACGUUAAAUACAGAAGAAGCACCGGCUAACUCCGUGCCAGCAGCCGCGGUAAUACGGAGGGUGCGAGCGUUAAUCGGAAUAACUGGGCGUAAAGGGCACGCAGGCGGUUAUUUAAGUGAGGUGUGAAAGCCCCGGGCUUAACCUGGGAAUUGCAUUUCAGACUGGGUAACUAGAGUACUUUAGGGAGGGGUAGAAUUCCACGUGUAGCGGUGAAAUGCGUAGAGAUGUGGAGGAAUACCGAAGGCGAAGGCAGCCCCUUGGGAAUGUACUGACGCUCAUGUGCGAAAGCGUGGGGAGCAAACAGGAUUAGAUACCCUGGUAGUCCACGCUGUAAACGCUGUCGAUUUGGGGGUUGGGGUUUAACUCUGGCGCCCGUAGCUAACGUGAUAAAUCGACCGCCUGGGGAGUACGGCCGCAAGGUUA
rnacentral:rRNA from 1 species